AGAGGGAUUGCUGGAUCAUAUGGUAGUCUUAUGUUUAACUUUUUAAGAAACUGCCAAACUAUUUUCCAAAGUGGCUGCACUAUUUUACAUUCCCACCAGCAAU
rnacentral:pre_miRNA from 1 species